GGAUUAGAUACCCUGGUAGUCCACGCCGUAAACGAUGAGGGCUAGUUGUCAGGCAGCAUGCUGUUUGGUGGCGCAGCUAACGCAUUAAGCCCUCCGCCUGGGGAGUACGGUCGCAAGAUUAAAGCUCAAAGGAAUUGACGGGGACCCGCACAAGCGGUGGAACAUGUGGUUUAAUUCGAGGCAACGCGAAGAACCUUACCAGGCCUUGACAUGCUUGUCGCGAGAUCCAGAGACGGAUCUCUUCAGUUCGGCUGGACAAUGCACAGGUGCUGCAUGGCUGUCGUCAGCUCGUGCCG
rnacentral:rRNA from 1 species